UACGUAGGGUCCGAGCGUUGUCCGGAAUUAUUGGGCGUAAAGAGCUCGUAGGCGGUUUGUCGCGUCUGCUGUGAAAACCCGAGGCUCAACCUCGGGCCUGCAGUGGGUACGGGCAAACUAGAGUGCGGUAGGGGAGAUUGGAAUUCCUGGUGUAGCGGUGGAAUGCGCAGAUAUCAGGAGGAACACCGAUGGCGAAGGCAGAUCUCUGGGCCGUAACUGACGCUGAGGAGCGAAAGCAUGGGGAGCGAACAGG
rnacentral:rRNA from 1 species